rnacentral:rRNA from 1 species
AGUGGGGAAUAUUGGACAAUGGGGGCAACCCUGAUCCAGCAAUGCCGCGUGAGUGAUGAAGGCCUUAGGGUUGUAAAGCUCUUUUGGCGGGGACGAUGAUGACGGUACCCGCAGAAUAAGCCCCGGCUAACUUCGUGCCAGCAGCCGCGGUAAUACGAAGGGGGCGAGCGUUGUUCGGAAUUACUGGGCGUAAAGGGCGCGUAGGCGGCCGAUCAAGUCAGAUGUGAAAGUCCUGGGCUUAACCUGGGGACUGCAUUUGAUACUGAUUGGCUUGAAUGCAGGAGAGGAUAGCGGAAUUCCCAGUGUAGAGGUGAAAUUCGUAGAUAUUGGGAAGAACACCGGUGGCGAAGGCGGCUAUCUGGACUGUGAUUGACGCUGAGGCGCGAAAGCGUGGGGAGCAAA